GGUCUUGACAUCCCGAUGCUAUUUCUAGAGAUAGAAAGUUACUUCGGUACAUCGGUGACAGGUGGUGCAUGGUUGUCGUCAGCUCGUGUCGUGAGAUGUUGGGUUAAGUCCCGCAACGAGCGCAACCCCUAUUGUUAGUUGCCAUCAUUCAGUUGGGCACUCUAGCGAGACUGCCGGUAAUAAACCGGAGGAAGGUGGGGAUGACGUCAAAUCAUCAUGCCCCUUAUGACCUGGGCUACACACGUGCUACAAUGGUUGGUACAACGAGUUGCGAGUCGGUGACGGCGAGCUAAUCUCUUAAAGCCAAUCUCAGUUCGGAUUGUAGGCUGCAACUCGCCUACAUGAAGUCGGAAUCGCUGGUAAUCGCGGAUCAGCACGCCGCGGUGAAUACGUUCCCGGGCCUU
rnacentral:rRNA from 1 species